CUUUUUUUUUUUUUUUUUCUUUAUCUUUUUUUUUUGGUCAAAGCUAGCAUGCUCCUAAUGGUUACUAUUUGUAGAGAACGCAUAUUUUUCUUGGGCAUAUUGGUAACUAUUAUUGAUGUAACGUAGCAGAAAUAUAGAUGUUUGAUCCAUGAUGGAAAAUAUAUUAAUAGUUCUUUUCUUUGAUUUUAUGGCUAGUUUAAUAGGAAGAUUCUUGUUAUCUAUGUACCACAAUGGAUUGGCUUUUUUCAUUUUUUUCA
rnacentral:misc_RNA from 1 species